rnacentral:ncRNA from 2 species
AGCAACUACUAGGGGUGCCCAGUACUAUGUGUGGGCUGAGAGGAAAGCACCUACUUUCCGACUCUUAUGGACCUGAUCUGGUUAAUACCAGCGUAGGGAAGUAGUCAAUAAUUUUG